UAUUUGAAUUUAUUAAUUAUGUUACAAUAACAAUCAAAUAAAAUCCAAAAUAAUCAUUGUUUGAGGUUGCAGGAAUAUGCUACAUUUAAUUGCCAUGAUUUUCACUCCUCAUGUAUUCUUAAGAGAUCAUAACAAGAUCCUUCUAGAUCUGGAAGACUGAAUAACAGUGAUAUUCAGCUUGCAAAAGUCCAUGACAAACUCGUUAACACAAAGGCCUUGUGAAAUAAUUUCCAAAUCCAAGGUUCCAUUAAGAAUUCGAGUAGCAGGAGAAUACUGUAAAAUAACAGGGGGAUUAUUAUGGAACGGAAAAGCUCUCCCAGGACACAAGCAAAAUUUAGCCAGAGAAUUCUGUGUAGUAGCCGGAGAAUUCUCCGAUCUCUGAUGCCUAAUGAACAGUACCCUGCAAAUCCUGACAAGUUAUCAGAUAAAUCACCAGGUGUUAACAGCAGUCCUACAGACUUUUGUUGCUGAUUUUUAUUUGUAUGGAUUUUACUGUAAUGGUUUAUUGGAGACAACAUUUGUUUAAUUGAUGGACUUUCAAUAGUAGUGUAAUUUUAUUACAUCACAAAAGAAAAUCCUACAGCACCACUUUUCCUUUUGGAUUUUGAGAAAGCAUUUGGCAUCAUUCAUAGAAAGGACAUUCAUUCAAACAAUAGUGUUAGUCACAGUAGAUUUACUUUUCUUUGUUUUGCAUUAAUUUUCACAUAAAGACUGCUGUUGUCUUUCAACGAAUCACAAACUGAAAAGGUAUAAAUGCAGUUUUUUUUUCAUCAUCACAUAUGCAUCCCACUCUUUUACCAUCCACAACUUUUGAGAUCAGCACAAUGACAGACUAUUGAUAGGUGAUAGCAUGACCAACUUCAUGUAAUACAAUCAGACAUCAAAAGCCAAUUAUUGUGAAUAAAUUAAAAAUGGCCUACUUGCUACAAACUGUGGGAUAUCCAGCAUGAAUGAAAUGAACCAUUGAUUGAUCUUCUUUAUCAACAACAGGAAACACUUGCCCAGAAUGGAAGGUUUGAAGAAAACAUUCAUUUUCGUAUCCCACCAGAACAAGAAGUCAUGAGAAGUUACCAUGGCAUUGGCAAGAGAGCACAUACAAUUACCGAUCCACCGGUUACCUUUUUCAUGAAAACGUGCCUUAAUUAUAAUAAGAAUGAGAUACUCGCCUUACAAAUGGGGAGAGAAAAAGGGAUCUCACAAAUGGUGGGUUACCUUGGGGCCAUACUGCAAGGUAGAAGUGCUGUCAUUUUCAUGCCCUACA